UACAUGGGGUGCAAACGUUGCUCGGAAUUAUUGGGCGUAAAGCGCACGUAGGCGGUUCGUUAAGUCGGAUGUGAAAGCCCUCGGCUCAACUGAGGAAGUGCACCCGAAACUGGCGAGCUUGAGUACGAAAGAGGAUCGCGGAAUUCCCGGUGUAGAGGUGAAAUUCGUAGAUAUCGGGAGGAACACCGGUGGCGAAGGCAGCCCCCUGGGUUAACACUGACGCUCAGGCACGAAAGCGUGGGGAGCAAACAGG
rnacentral:rRNA from 1 species